rnacentral:rRNA from 1 species
UACAGAGGGUGCAAGCGUUAAUCGGAAUUACUGGGCGUAAAGCGUGCGUAGACGGUUAUCUAAGUCGGGUGUGAAAGCCCCGGGCUCAACCUGGGAAUUGCAUUCGAGACUGAAUAGCUAGGGUUCGGAAGAGGGAAGCGGAAUUUCCGGUGUAGCGGUGAAAUGCGUAGAUAUCGGAAGGAACACCAGUGGCGAAAGCGGCUUCCUGGUCCAGAACCGACGUUCAGUCACGAAAUCGUGGGGAGCAAACAGG